rnacentral:rRNA from 1 species
GAGAACUUAGCAGAGAUGCUUUGGUGCCUUCGGGAACUCUGAGACAGGUGCUGCAUGGCUGUCGUCAGCUCGUGUUGUGAAAUGUUGGGUUAAGUCCCGCAACGAGCGCAACCCUUAUCCUUUGUUGCCAGCGGCUCGGCCGGGAACUCAAAGGAGACUGCCGGUGAUAAACCGGAGGAAGGUGGGGAUGACGUCAAGUCAUCAUGGCCCUUACGGCCAGGGCUACACACGUGCUACAAUGGCGCAUACAAAGAGAAGCGACCUCGCGAGAGCAAGCGGACCUCAUAAAGUGCGUCGUAGUCCGGAUUGGAGUCUGCAACUCGACUCCAUGAAGUCGGAAUCGCUAGUAAUCGUAGAUCAGAAUGCUACGGUGAAUACGUUCCCGGGCCUUGUACACACCGCCCGUCACACCAUGGGAGUGGGUUGCAAAAGAAGUAGGUAGCUUAACCUUCGGGAGGGCGCUUACCACUUUGUGAUUCAUGACUGGGGUGAAGUCGUAACAAGGUAGGCGUAGCGAG